GUGGUGACUCAACACAGGCUGGAGGUCCACCGGUUUCCCAAAGAUUCCUGGCUUCGAGAGCUUGAGUUCACUCAGUCAACAUCACAAAAACAGGUCUCCCCUGCUCAUUGCUUUCAAUCCCUGGGGACAGUGAUAUCAGACAUGUGCAGUUUAUGGAACCCCACACUGUCAAUAAAGGUCUGAAGAUCAAGGUUCCCUCCCCAGUGCAAUACAAUCCAUACCUUUUCAACCCAAUUUGGUCCUUUUCAUGUACAGGGACAGCACCAUAGCGCUCAUUGACAGCACUGAUGGGACCCUCAUCUGUAAUUUGGUGCUUCCAGCUCCACAGUCCUUAGCUACUCCAUGGGACCCAGUCUUUCUGCUGGACCCAGAGAGACAGUUACUGUUCAUAAGAGGUACUAAAUCAUUCCCUUCCCCAGACCGAGGAUAUUGUAUGGGUUAAUAUUGUAUACAGUCAAGCAGAACGAGUCAUCCAUCUAACAGCGGACAGUUUAGGUCAUCUUUAUACCGUAUAAAAGAAACUAACUCAGAUUCAGUUAGUGAUGUACCACCAAUUUGUUGCCACAAGGUGGCAGUUGAUUUCAUUUUAAUAUUUCUACAAAAUGGUUAUGAUGGCAGCUGCUUCAGUAAAUUGACAGAUUAUUGUCUUAUCUCUUAGCAAAAUGGUUCAAUCUAACUGAAAAAAGAUUGGAAUGAAAAAUAUGUAUCGAAGUCUCUUCACUGUUUACACAAACUAGUGCAGUAAAAUCAUGCUGUACUUUCUUUCUAGAAGAAUUGUUUCUAGAAGAUUACAUUAAGAUAAACUGUAUAAAUAUUAGCAUGACGAUUAUGUAAACAACAGGAACAGACUACAUCCCAUAAAACAUCACCUCAGGGAGGUGAUGUCCUUCCUGGAGGAAUAUGGUAAAGUCUCGGGGUGUUUGUUAUAUAAUUCAGAUCAGAUCAAAUGAAAGAAAGAUAUAAACUGAAGUGGCAUUCAGUACCUAUUAAAUUCCUGCGGGUUAAUUUGCCAAAAUACCCCUGAAAGCUAUUUCUUUUAAAUUAUGACCCUUUAACCCUAAUAAUCAAAGAUGAUAUGUCCAGGUGGAAUCUGCUUCCUCUGUCCCCGAAUUCUAGAGUGGAAGCUGUCAAAAUGAAUGUGUUGCCAAGACUACUGUACCUAUUUCAAACCUUGCCAGUAGAGAUUUCCCCAGGGCAGUUUAAUGCGAUUCACUCAUUUCAAGAUUCAUUUGGAACAGCUAAAGGCCAAGAAUCAGAUUAAGGCAGUUCAUCUAUCAAAAGAGAGAGGAGGGCUGGCACUGCCUUGUCCCUGGAUGUUUUGAACAUUCAGCAGAAUCAUAUCCACAGUUAUAUGUCUGUGUUUUAUAACCUUGCCAGUAUUUAGGUGUGCCACUGUUUAGAUCAAUUGAACAGUAAUAUCAUUUUAUAAGAAGUUCUGUAAUUAAGUGGCAAAAAAAAAAAACAAACCCAGUAAGUAAGUAGAGCCCAUACAUUAAUGCCUCCCUUUAACUCAGCAGUGAACAGACCACGGUCACAGAAUUAUACCAUUGCGAGUCUGUACUGGCUGACAAGAGAAAAUGAGUCUCAGCAGCAGACCUUGCUGAACAAGUUUGAAUACUUUUUUAAAAUGCAUAGCUUGUGUAAGAAUGCCCCUAGAGAAUGUAUAUAGUUACCUUCUGCUGAACUUAUGGAUGAAUUGUUUCAUAAUAGCGGCACCAUUUUACUUGUAAAUCAUUGCCUAGCUCUUACUGUGUUUUAAUUAUGAAAUGUGUCUUAAAGGAUUGCAGUUAGUCAGAGCCCCGUUUAUUUAGCAUUACAUCUGUUUAUGUUUCUUAAGUUUAUCAUUUUUACGUGCAGGGAGGCAUAGGCUAAUGAGCACACACCGAUCAAGCUAUAAAAGGAUUCGGUGACAAGUUGAAUAAUAAUAUUAUGAUUGGAUAGACGUUAAACCUUGGUUUGGAAGCAGGUGUAGUAAAAUGUAUGUCUGAUUAAUGAGCAUUGAACCAGAUGGUAGGUUUACCCGGAGGGAAUUAUUCCUAUAUGGUACACAGCAUACCUCCAAAGAGGCAAUUGCUGUGUGUAGUACAUUCUAAGCAAUUUUAUUUAGUUCUCCGAGUGCUAAAAAACAUAAUGUGUGUAAAAGACAAAAACAGAUAGUGUGUUUAAUAAAACAUUAAGGGCAAUCGAUGCAGUGACGUGUUUCUUAUCAGUUUAGUGCAAGAGGAUUUGUCAUCACUCAGCAGGCUUCCCUAGAGUACGGCACAGUUUUAAACAGCUUUCUUGCCUCAGAGUUGUUAAAGAGAACACAACCAGUUGUCAUCAGUUCAUUUUAUGCCAGCGAUUAUAUUACUAUAGUGUAUAGUGUCUCUAGUACUGGUGAAAAAUAUAAAUAUUUUUUAUUAAAUCAAGGAAAGAGUUCAGCUGGCUGUAAAGACUACAUGAGCAUCAUUUUUUUGUCGACAAAGCUCUGCCAAAACCCCAAAUUCCGAAUGCAUUUCCUGCAAUAUGCAGUGCAAAUUAUACAAAUCUGCUGAAGCUAGAAACUGCAAGCCUUGAGUUAAUUAACUGGUUCACUAUCCAUAUUAAAAUGAUGAGUCUGCAUUGUUCUGCAUCUGAAGCUGAAUUGUAGAGCUUGUUUUAAAAUGCAGCUGUAUCCAACAAGCCUUCUACUCAUGGAAAAGACUAAUGUUGCACAAUACUUCUUAA